rnacentral:rRNA from 1 species
AGCGAACGCUGGCGGCAGGCCUAACACAUGCAAGUCGAGCGCCGUAGCAAUACGGAGCGGCAGACGUGAGAGUAACACGUGGGAACGUACCCUUUGGUUCGGAACAACCCAGGGAAACUUGGGCUAAUACCGGAUAAGCCCUCACGGGGAAAGAUUCAUCGCCGAAGGAUCGGCCCGCGUCUGAUUAGCUAGUUGGUGGGGUAAUGGCCCACCAAGGCGACGAUCAGUAGCUGGUCUGAGAGGAUGAUCAGCCUCACUGGGACUGAGACACGGCCCAGACUCCUACGGGAGGCAGCAGUGGGGAAUAUUGGACAAUGGGCGCAAGCCUGAUCCAGCCAUGCCGCGUGGGUGAUGAAGGCCCUAGGGUUGUAAAGCCCUUUCGGCGGGGAAGAUAAUGACGGUACCCGCAGAAGAAGCCCCGGCUAACUUCGUGCCAGCAGCCGCCGUAAAAC